rnacentral:tRNA from 1 species
GCGUCAGACAGCUGGGGUAGCGGUAAGGUCUCCAAAACCUUUAUGAGUGGGUUCAACUCCUACCUGACGUGC